rnacentral:rRNA from 1 species
CCUACGGGAGGCAGCAGUGGGGAAUAUUGCUCAAUGAGCGAAAGCCUGAUGCAGCGACAUCGCGUGCAGGAUGACGGUCCUCUGAAUUGUAAGCCUCUUUAUACGGGAAGCACUUCCGCACACGUAUGCGCUUACAGAUAGUCCCCACCGACUCAGCAUCGGCUAACUCCGUGCCUGCAGCCGCGGUAAUACAUAGGCUGCUAGCGUUCUCCGGAGUGAUUGGUUGUACAGGGUGCGUAGGCGGAUUUUUAAGUCAGCGGGAAAAUGUCUGGGAUCAACCCCGGCCGGCCGUUGUUACUUGGGAGCUGGAGUGAGCGAGAGGUAGGCGGAAUGCGGGGUGGAGCGGUGAAAUGCAUAGAUAUAACGAAGAACUCCGAUUGCGAAGGCAGCAUACUGGGGCCAGACUGACGCUGAGGCACGAAAGCGUGGGGAGCGAACAGGAUUAGAUACCCGUGUAGUC